GACUGACAUUUACAACCCUUAAACACAGGGAAGGAAGAACAUGUAUUUGGUACCUACUUCACAGGGUAUUACAAAGCACCAUAGAAAUGCAAAUGAGUAGCAUUAUCAUUUUUCAUCAUUAUGACUUUAUUUUUUAUUCCAGGCAAACCUCUUACUUUUAUUUUUUCCUGAUUUUCUCAGAAUUAUAACAUCAGAUUGAAAUUUGAAAUAUCCAACAUAGCUUCCAUGUAGAGCCACAUUCUAAAGGCAGAGAGCCUUUAGCAAGAAUAAGAACAAGAGAAUUGGCUUUCUUCCAGAAUUUCUUGAGCUAUGACCUGUUUCCAAGAUGGUAUCAUUAUAUUCUAAGGAUACUAUCUUCUUCAUACAAACAUGUCUGGACACAAGAGAUAAUCUACAAGAAAACUGGAGGAUCAUUUCUCUCUUUGGAUUUCAUGGAAAUGAAGAAUCAAAGAGGAAAUGGGAAAAAUCUAUGAAAAGAAUUAUGAAUAUGGCAUGAUUCUCUCUUGUGAUUAGGAUGAAGAAUUUUGACCAAAGAAUGCUAUGAAAAACAGAAUUAAAGAAAGGAAGGUAAAAUUUAUUUUGGAUAGUGCAUCUAGCAUAAGCUAAAUUAAACACAUUUCUCUAAGCUGAGCAUAGGCUGCUGUGUGUCCAGGGGAGCUCAUAAUCAGAACUUCAGUUGGGGAAAAUAUUACUUCCCUUUCAGGGAAGGGUAAGGAUAAAAUACAAAUGAUUUAUAUAGGUCUGUGGAGGGUAGGGAUGGUGCCGGGAGGGUGGAAGCUGCUGGGUGAUGUCAGGUUCUUUUUGCCAGCAGAAGCUCACUUUAUCUUUCCCAAGGCCAUUCAUUUACUGAGGGAAAAUUCCAUACUAGACAGCCAUUUUUCAGGGAGACUGUGAAUGUUCUUGGAUUUUCCAGCUGGAUUGUUUUGGGUCAAAGGACAGAUCAAAGGUUGUUCACACCUAUUUUUUUGGCUCCAAGCAUGUAGUAGAAAUUUCUUGUCCAUUUUGUGAUGCCAAAGGAAAAUUCUUCUCACUUCUCCCAGUCUGUGGAAAUGAAAACAAGGAAAAGCAAAUGUAUACCGGACCAAAAAAACCUCAUACU
rnacentral:lncRNA from 1 species